rnacentral:rRNA from 1 species
GAUGAACGCUGGCGGCGUGCUUAACACAUGCAAGUCGAACGGAGUGCUCAUGACGGAGUUUUCGGACAACGGAUUGGGUUACUUAGUGGCGGACGGGUGAGUAACGCGUGAGGAACCUGCCUCGGAGUGGGGAAUAACAUACCGAAAGGUGUGCUAAUACCGCAUAAUGCAGUUGGGUCGCAUGACUCUGACUGCCAAAGAUUUAUCGCUCUGAGAUGGCCUCGCGUCUGAUUAGCUAGUUAGCGGGGUAACGGCCCACCAAGGCGACGAUCAGUAGCCGGACUGAGAGGUUGACCGGCCACAUUGGGACUGAGACACGGCCCAGACUCCUACGGGAGGCAGCAGUGGGGAAUAUUGGGCAAUGGGCGCAAGCCUGACCCAGCAACGCCGCGUGAAGGAAGAAGGCUUUCGGGUUGUAAACUUCUUUUGUCAGGGACGAAACAAAUGACGGUACCUGACGAAUAAGCCACGGCUAACUACGUGCCAGCAGCCGCCGUAACAC